AGUCGAGCGGUAGAGAGAAGCUUGCUUCUCUUGAGAGCGGCGGACGGGUGAKUWAUGCCUAGGAAUCUGCCUGGUAGUGGGGGAUAACGUUCGGAAACGGACGCUAAUACCGCAUACGUCCUACGGGAGAAAGCAGGGGACCUUCGGGCCUUGCGCUAUCAGAUGAGCCUAGGUCGGAUUAGCUAGUUGGUGGGGUAAUGGCUCACCAAGGCGACGAUCCGUAACUGGUCUGAGAGGAUGAUCAGUCACACUGGAACUGAGACACGGUCCAGACUCCUACGGGAGGCAGCAGUGGGGAAUAUUGGACAAUGGGCGAAAGCCUGAUCCAGCCAUGCCGCGUGUGUGAAGAAGGUCUUCGGAUUGUAAAGCACUUUAAGUUGGGAGGAAGGGUUGUAGAUUAAUACUCUGCAAUUUUGACGUUACCGACAGAAUAAGCACCGGCUAACUCUGUGCCAGCAGCCGCGGUAAUACAGAGGGUGCAAGCGUUAAUCGGAAUUACUGGGCGUAAAGCGCGCGUAGGUGGUUUGUUAAGUUGGAUGUGAAAUCCCCGGGCUCAACCUGGGAACUGCAUUCAAAACUGACUGACUAGAGUAUGGUAGAG
rnacentral:rRNA from 1 species